GCGGGUGUCGUAUAAUGGUAAUACCUCAGAUUUCCAAUCUGAUGCUAGGAGUUCGAUUCUCCUCACCCGCUCCA
rnacentral:tRNA from 1 species